UUUUAGUAUUGCAUUUUGUCUGGACCCAGUGCAGCUGCGGCUAUGUACAAUACGUCAUACACGAAUAAGUUGAUCGUGAGAUACAUCGAAUGGUGUUCUGAAAGAGAAUCGAGUACUGGAACGAGAUGAGAUAAUAAUAAUAAUAAUAUAGUUACGAAUGACAACAAUAAUUGUUGGGGAGGGAGUGGCGGCCAUAGUGACCUCCACACAGUCCACACUUCAACACCGCUGCAGCAUAUGACAUAGGUAUAUCGGAAAUGGAUAAUCGAGGAAGAAAAGAUGAUGCCUGACUCCGAUGUGGUAAACGUGUCGGCACGCGUUAAUACGUUUCCGAAUCCCUGACGAUGACGGCGAUGAAAAGCCAUCAUGUACCGCCCGUCAGUCUGGUGCGUGUAACGCCAAACUUUCGAUUCGUUUCCAGGGCCACCUACGGAGGAACACAAUAACGUACGACGCUGCAGUGCAGUUACACGAUAUAAUAUAUUUUAUGCUCGGCGACGUUUAAAUCCUUUACUCGGAGCGUACGCAGUUCCGAAACGCGGAGCAAACAAUUUGAAUGAUAUUUGCAUGACGUGCCGGCGAACCCGAAGACAAUAACAAUAUAAUAAUAUUACCUAUAACAAUGUCAAUGAUUAAUGUAUUUGUUUAAUUUUUACUGAUAAUAUUAAAAUGUCAUAUUAUAAUAUGAUAAUAGUCAUUAUGUACAUUAUAUUAUAGUUACUAGUAAAUGGAUGAGAAAUCUGAAAUGUGAUAAUGUUUAAAAUAUAAUUGAACUUUUGUAUUAUUUUAAAAUAUAUAAGUAAGAUCACGCAUCGUAGCAAUUUGUCGAGUGAUUAUAGUGUAGUUGUAUUACCUAGUACGAUGUACGGAUUUAAUAUUAUAUCGAUACAAACCGUUUUCACCGCUCUUACAUCGUGUUAAUGUCAAAAUUUAAUUAACUAUUAAAAUAUUAU